rnacentral:rRNA from 1 species
GGCGGCGUGCUUACACAUGCAAGUCGAACGAUGAACCACUUCGGUGGGGAUUAGUGGCGAACGGGUGAGUAACACGUGGGCAAUCUGCCCUGACACUCUGGGACAAGCCCUGGAAACGGGGUCUAAUACCGGAUACUGACCCUCGACAGGCAUCUGCGAGGUUCGAAAGCUCCGGCGGUGCAGGAUGAGCCCGCGGCCUAUCAGCUUGUUGGUGAGGUAAUGGCUCACCAAGGCGACGACGGGUAGCCGGCCUGAGAGGGCGACCGGCCACACUGGGACUGAGACACGGCCCAGACUCCUACGGGAGGCAGCAGUGGGGAAUAUUGCACAAUGGGCGAAAGCCUGAUGCAGCGACGCCGCGUGAGGGAUGACGGCCUUCGGGUUGUAAACCUCUUUCAGCAGGGAAGAAGCGAAAGUGACGGUACCUGCAGAAGAAGCGCCGGCUAACUACGUGCCAGCAGCCGCGGUAAUACGUAGGGCGCAAGCGUUGUCCGGAAUUAUUGGGCGUAAAAGCUCGUAGCGGUUUGUCGCGUCGGUUGUGAAACCCCGGGGCUUACCCCGGGUCUGCAGUCGAUACGGGCAGGCUAAAGUUCGGUAGGGGAGAUCCGAAUUCCUGGUGUACGGUAAAAUGCGCAAAUAUUAUGAAGGAACCCCGGUUGUCGAAGGCGGAUUUCUGGGCCGAUUAUGACGCUUAAGGAACGAAAGCCUGGGAGCGAACAGAUUAGAUACCCUGGUAGUCCAACGCCGUAAACGGUGGGCACUAGGUGUGGGCAACAUUCCACGUUGUCCGUGCCCGCAGCUAACGCAUUAAGUGCCCCGCCUGGGGAGUACGGCCGCAAGGCUAAACUCAAAGGAAUUGAACGGGGGCCCGCACAAGCGGCGGAGCAUGUGGCUUAAUUCGACGCAACGCGAAGAACCUUACCAAGGCUUGACAUACACCGGAAAGCAUCAGAGAUGGUGCCCCCCUUGUGGUCGGUGUACAGGUGGUGCAUGGCUGUCGUCAGCUCGUGUCGUGAGAUGUUGGGUUAAGUCCCGCAACGAGCGCAACCCUUGUCCCGUGUUGCCAGCAGGCCCUUGUGGUGCUGGGGACUCACGGGAGACCGCCGGGGUCAACUCGGAGGAAGGUGGGGACGACGUCAAGUCAUCAUGCCCCUUAUGUCUUGGGCUGCACACUUGCUACAAUGGCCGGUACAAUGAGCUGCGAUACCGCAAGGUGGAGCGAAUCUCAAAAAGCCGGUCUCAGUUCGGAUUGGGGUCUGCAACUCGACCCCAUGAAGUCGGAGUCGCUAGUAAUCGCAGAUCAGCAUUGCUGCGGUGAAUACGUUCCCGGGCCUUGUACACACCGCCCGUCACGUCACGAAAGUCGGUAACACCCGAAGUCCGGUGAGCCCAACCACCUUGUGGGAGGGAGCUGUCGA